rnacentral:rRNA from 1 species
AGUGAACGCUGGCGGUAGGCCUAACACAUGCAAGUCGAACGGCAGCACAGUAAGAGCUUGCUCUUACGGGUGGCGAGUGGCGGACGGGUGAGGAAUACAUCGGAAUCUACUUUUUCGUGGGGGAUAACGUAGGGAAACUUACGCUAAUACCGCAUACGACCUACGGGUGAAAGCAGGGGAUCUUCGGACCUUGCGCGAUUGAAUGAGCCGAUGUCGGAUUAGCUAGUUGGCGGGGUAAAGGCCCACCAAGGCGACGAUCCGUAGCUGGUCUGAGAGGAUGAGCAGCCACACUGGAACUGAGACACGGUCCAGACUCCUACGGGAGGCAGCAGUGGGGAAUAUUGGACAAUGGGCGCAAGCCUGAUCCAGCCAUACCGCGUGGGUGAAGAAGGCCUUCGGGUUGUAAAGCCCUUUUGUUGGGAAAGAAAAGCAGCAGGUUAAUACCCCGCUGUUCUGACGGUAGCCAAAGAAUAAGCACCGGCUAACUUCGUG